rnacentral:rRNA from 1 species
CAGCCGCCGCGGUAAUACGAAGGGUGCAAGCGUUAAUCGGAAUUACUGGGCGUAAAGCGUGCGUAGGCGGUGAGUUAAGUCUGCUGUGAAAUCCCCGGGCUCAACCUGGGAAUGGCAGUGGAUACUGGCUCGCUAGAGUGUGUCAGAGGAUGGUGGAAUUCCCGGUGUAGCGGUGAAAUGCGUAGAGAUCGGGAGGAACAUCAGUGGCGAAGGCGGCCAUCUGGGACAACACUGACGCUGAGGCACGAAAGCGUGGGGAGCAAACAGGAUUAGAUACCCCAGUAGUCCCUGUCUCUUUACC